rnacentral:rRNA from 1 species
UACGUAGGCAGCGAGCGUUGUUCGGAAUUACUGGGCGUAAAGAGUGUGUAGGCGGUGCUCUAAGUCUGGUGUGAAAUCUCCCGGCUCAACUGGGAGGGUGCGCCGGAAACUGGAGUGCUCGAGUGUGGGAGAGGAAAGCGGAAUUCCUGGUGUAGCGGUGAAAUGCGUAGAUAUCAGGAGGAACACCUGCGGUGUAGACAGCUUUCUGGACCACGACUGACGCUGAGACACGAAAGCGUGGGUAGCAAACAGG